GGAAAGGUGGCCGAGCGGCUGAAGGCACCACACUGCUAACGUGGCGGGGGAUAAAACCCCUCGAGAGUUCGAAUCUCUCCCUUUCCGCCA
rnacentral:tRNA from 1 species